rnacentral:rRNA from 1 species
UACGUAGGGCGCAAGCGUUGUCCGGAAUUAUUGGGCGUAAAGAGCUCGUAGGCGGCCUGUUGCGUCCGCUGUGAAAUCCCGGGGCUCAACCCCGGGCCUGCAGUGGAUACGGGCUGGCUAGAGGCAGGCAGGGGAGAACGGAAUUCCUGGUGUAGCGGUGAAAUGCGCAGAUAUCAGGAGGAACACCGGUGGCGAAGGCGGGUCUCUGGGCCGAAACUGACGCUGAGGAGCGAAAGCGUGGGGAGCAAACAGG